UCUGAUAAAAAUGAAUUAGAACUGCCCCAGUCUGAUCACUGUGACUGAUAGAUAUUUUCUGAGCUGUG
rnacentral:snoRNA from 1 species